ensembl:lncRNA
AGAGUUUCUUUUACAGAAUAUAUACAUUCUAAAUUCUAGGACUUUGCAGUCAUUUGGGGCAAGUUUUAGGUGUGACUGGAGAGGGAGUCAUUGACUUAUUUCUCAGGUGGUUGUCCUUUCCUUUUCCUGUCCAACUAAUGCACUUUCUCAUCUGUGAAAAGAACGCUGGACUGGGAACCAGGACCCUGAAUUCCAAAGCUUGACCUUGGUCUUAAGAUCAAGAAAGUUCCAGAAAAGCUCGACGAGUCGGCCAUCUUACUGGUGACAUAACGAGAUGUGAAAAAGUUGAUUUCAAGCAUGAAUGUUUGUGAUCUCUUGUCAAAGGAAGCUAGGCUGCUGCUCUUGUUGGGGUCACACAGGGACGUGGGCAGCACUUUGGCUACAAGUCAUCCCCAACAGCCAGAAAGAUGGAGCCAAAAGACAAAACCAUAUUUGAAGAAGACAUCUAGUAUCGAAACUAGAUUUGCCAAUUUGGUUGUCAGAGGAGUGGGAUGGUGGAGAGGGGGACAAAUGUGGGGAACUUUCUAGAGUUCUGUAACUAGAAGAAAAACAUAAAACAGAAAUGAGAUGACAGGUCAAGACAUGGAUCAUAAGUAGAGUUGGGUGUUGACCGCGUGAUAUAUGUGUGUGUCGUUUGGGUCAGAAGGCACAGGGUUAGUUUGGUAUUAACAUGUACACACUACUGUAUAUGAAAUGGGUAAACAGGACCUACUGUAGAACGCAGGAAACUAUUUAAUAUCUUGUAAUAACCUUUAAUGGAAAAGAAUCUGAAAGAGUAUACACACAUACGCGUGCACACACACACACACACACCCACACACACGGUGGUGAUGGUUUAGUUGUUUAGUUGUGUCUGACUCAUGCUACCCCAUGAACUGUUGCCCUCCUGACUCCUCUGUCCAUGGAAUUUUCCAAGCAAGAAUACUUGAGUGGGUUGCCAUUUCCUCGCAUAUCCUUUACCACUGAGCCACCAGGGAAGCCUAAUAUAUAUAUAUACAUAUGUACACUUUGGCCACUGAUGCAAAGAGCCAACUCAUUGGAAGAGACCCCGAUGCUGGGAAAGAUUGAAGGCAACAGGAGACAAGGGGCAGCAGAGGAUGAGGUAGUUAUCUCUGACUCAGUGGACGUGAAUUUGAGCAAACUCUGGAGAUCGUGAAGAACAGGGAAAUCUGGCAUGCUGCAGUCCGUGGAUUGCAGAGUCGGACAUGACUUAGCUACUGAACACACACACACACACACACACACACACACACACACACUCACACACACAUGUAACUGAAUCACUUUGCUGUACACCUGAAACUAAUACAACGUUGUAAAUUAACUAUAGUUGAAUAAAAAAUGAGUAAAAAAUAAUAAAAAGGAGGUGCAUUGUUUAAGGACCUGAAUAAGGGAUUUAAGG